rnacentral:antisense_RNA from 1 species
UCGCAGCUGGAGAGGCAGGGUCAAGCACGCACGAGAAGCUUCAUGGCGUCAUUGGUUACUCCCAUUGCGAUUACUUCCCCUAGGUGCACUGAGAUUGGUUACUUCGACUAAAGGGGCGGAGACAAGGAAAAGUCAGCCCCCCCCGACCCCGCCUCCUUGAUGAAGGAAGGUUGUGAUUGGUCCGGAGAGGCUGCCGUCGGAUCCUGGCUCUUUGCGGUCUGGGAGGGUGGGCCUUACCUAGACGCCGGAGGGGACCGAUCUCUGUUUCCGCAGGGCUCUGGAGCUGGUGCAGGUUUAAGUCCGUCUCAGACAGUCCCCUCAACCCACAGCCUAAGCCCCUUGCCCUUGGGCCUCCGUGACACAGAACUUGCUUCCUUUUCCUAGGUCGUCCUUCACCUCCCUUCAGGUGUUGCUUCUUUUGUGAAACCUUUUUAGAACCGCUCUAGUGAACCUCUCUUUAACUGGCGAGGAAACCUCUGGGGCCUGAUAAUCAGGCUGUAAUGUGGGACGACAGGAUUAGAAGGACUAGGCACCUGGUGGUCUUGUUCCCUCUUCCAUGAGUCUUGGGUCUCUCAGCUGAAGAGAGCAAAAGUGAAUUUUGGCCGCCUAAGAUUAAUCAACUGAUCUGGGUGUUGAGCAGACGCGCAUUGUUUAGUCCUAGAGCCCCAUUGCCUCCUCCCCCAAAGUUGCACAACCACUGGGCUGAGGGAAAUCUUGUGACCUUGGAGAGAGAAAGGGAGAGACCACAUUAAAAAAAAAAAAAAAAAAGGUUCUAAUGAG